UCGGGUUCCAUUUCAAUCUUAAAUAAGGAAUUAGUUCAUAGAAAUAAUCUAAAAAUCAUCUUAUGGUUACAAGAAUAAAAUAUUGAGAAUAAGGAAGAAAUUUUGUCACAGUUAAUCUUCACCCUCUGACUUCAAAUCCUUGCAAACUUCGUACACUUUCCUUCAAUAUCUGACGAAAAACCAUAGCCUAUGUAAUCUGAUAAUAAUCUCCAAAAAUAUUCCUCUUUCAUCAUCCUAAUAUAUUUGUUAUAUAUAGAACCCUUUAAUUAAC
rnacentral:lncRNA from 1 species